rnacentral:rRNA from 1 species
GAUGAACGCUGGCGGCGUGCCUAAUACAUGCAAGUCGAACGCAGAGGGGACGGGUGAGUAACACGUGGGUAACCUACCAUCAGAGGGGAUAACACUUGGAAACAGGUGCUAAACCGAUACUGAUGGAUGAACCCGCGGUGCAGUAGCUAGUUGGUGAGGUAACGGCACACAAAGGCCACGAUUCAUAGCCGACCGGAGAGGGUGAUCGGCCACACUGGUACUGAGACACGGCCCCGACGCCUACGGGAGGCAGCAGUAGGGAAUCUUCGGCAAUGGGCGAAAGUCUGACCGAGCAAUGCCGCGUGUGUGAAGAAGGUUUUCGGAUCGUAAAACUCUGUUGUUAUAGAAGCGGUAUCUAACCAGAAAGCCACGGCUAACUACGUGCCAGCAGCCGCUGUAAUUC